UGGGCAACAUGGACUUCAAAUUGUAUCAGAUUGAGUCCAGGGUCUCCCACCACCAGGAUGUGAGGGUCUCCUCUCACCGGGACGCUGCUCUUGUCUGCGUGUUUCUGUCUGCCCCCAAACAAUGCCAAAGCCAGGGCAGCCUUCACCAGCUGCCAACGCGCAGGAAAACCAGCAUGAACACUGAAUAUGAGCAGCGUGUCUGAUUGCUCUAAGAAAUCACAGACUAAUUUCAGUCUGAACUCACCAGAUGGCCGAAGAUGGCAGGACACAAAGAGCUGGAAGAAGUCGGAGAAGUGCACACAUUAAGAGGGUUAAAAAUCUGUACAACUACACUGCAUCCAAACAUAAAGGAACAGUUAUCCAAAAAAAAAGUAAUUUCCCCCAGAAAGGCCUUAAUGAAAGAUUGAAAAAGAAAAAAAAAUCUCAAUGAAAGUACAGAGUGCAACCUGCUGCCUGAGCGGCGCAAUUGAUGUAGCAGAGCAGAAUUGAUCUGCAAGUAAUUUUACUUUAGAAUUAAUGACAUGUUAAACAUUUCAUCCAGUUCAUUUAAACAGAUCCAUACAGGUCAUGUGUUCAACAAAAAGUCUGACUAAGUCCAAAAACUAAAAAGCAUAUCUCUAUAAUCGUUCUAUUAGCUCAUCUGUGUAAUCAUAUAAUAUCUAGAAAUUCUGGCACUGAUUUGGUGUGGCUUGCCAUCACAGUCCAUAUCGCUAAAUGCAGCAAUAAAAAUACAUUUAACUCUUUUAUUUGA